AUUCCUCAACCUUCUGCAUUUCUUGAUGGCAGAAGGCUUGGACUUUGGAGGUUCUUGCUGGCCUCUCCUUCUAGAAGCCAGCUCCUCUUAAACGGAUUAGCAGGGUCUGCCUUUAGCUGAUCCUUGACGUGAUAAGCCAUUUCUACGUCUCGGAUUCGACUCUUUUGAGACCUGCUUCUAAUCGUCCGAGUCGCCCUUUCUUAACGGGGCGUACUUUUGGACCCACGAACC
rnacentral:misc_RNA from 1 species